UACAGAGGUCUCAAGCGUUGUUCGGAAUUACUGGGCGUAAAGCGCACGUAGGCGGAUUUGUAAGUCAGGGGUGAAAUCCCGGGGCUCAACCUCGGAACUGCCUUUGAUACUGCAAAUCUCGAGUCCGGAAGAGGUGAGUGGAAUUCCUAGUGUAGAGGUGAAAUUCGUAGAUAUUAGGAAGAACACCAGUGGCGAAGGCGGCUCACUGGUCCGGUACUGACGCUGAGGUGCGAAAGCUAGGGGAGCAAACGGG
rnacentral:rRNA from 1 species